GUCGAGCGAGAAAGGGGAGCAAUCCCCCGGUAAAGCGGCAGACGGGUGAGUAACACGUGGGUAAUCUGCCCUCGAGUGUGGAAUAACAUCUCGAAAGAGGUGCUAAUACCGCAUAACAUCCAGGAGCCCGAGGGUUUCUGGAUCAAAGGUGGGGAUCUUUGGACCUGCCACUUGAGGAGGAGCCCGCGCCUGAUUAGCUAGUUGGUGGGGUAAUGGCCUACCAAGGCGACGAUCAGUAGCCGGCCUGAGAGGGUGAACGGCCACACUGGAACUGAGACACGGUCCAGACUCCUACGGGAGGCAGCAGUGAGGAAUUUUGCGCAAUGGGCGAAAGCCUGACGCAGCAACGCCGCGUGGACGAUGAAGGUCUUCGGAUCGUAAAGUCCUGUCGAGUGGGAAGAAGAAUGCGGGGGUUAAUACCUCCCGUAUUAGACUGUACCACCAAAGGAAGCCCCGGCUAACUCCGUGCCAGCAGCCGCGGUAAUACGGAGGGGGCCAGCGUUGUUCGGAAUUAUUGGGCGUAAAGGGCGCGUAGGCGGCCAAACAAGUCUGACGUGAAAUCCCCCGGCCCAACCGGGGAACUGCGUUUGAAACUGUUUGGCUCGAGUCCGGGAGAGGGUAGCGGAAUUCCCAGUGUAGCGGUGAAAUGCGUAGAUAUUGGGAGGAACACCGGUGGCGAAGGCGGCUACCUGGACCGGUACUGACGCUGAGGCGCGAAAGCUAGGGUAGCAAACAGGAUUAGAUACCCUGGUAGUCC
rnacentral:rRNA from 1 species